rnacentral:rRNA from 1 species
AUUGAACGCUGGCGGCAGGCUUAACACAUGCAAGUCGAGCGGAGAGAGGUAGCUUGCUACUGAUCUUAGCGGCGGACGGGUGAGUAAUGCUUAGGAAUCUGCCUAUUGGUGGGGGACAACAUUUCGAAAGGAAUGCUAAUACCGCAUACGUCCUACGGGAGAAAGCAGGGGAUCUUCGGACCUUUCGCUAAUAGAUGAGCCUCAGUCGGAUUAGCUAGUUGGUGGGGUAAAGGCCUACCAAGGCGACGAUCUGUAGCGGGUCUGAGAGGAUGAGCCGCCACACUGGGACUGAGACACGGCCCAGACUCCUACGGGAGGCAGCAGUGGGGAAUAUUGGACAAUGGGCGGAAGCCUGAUCCAGCCAUGCCGCGUGUGUGAAGAAGGCCUUAUGGUUGUAAAGCACUUUAAGCGAGGAGGAGGCUACUUUAGUUAAUACCUAGAGAUAGUGGACGUUACUCGCGGAAUAAGCACCGGCUAACUCUGUGCCAGCCGCCGCCGUAAAAC